UACGAAGGGGGCUAGCGUUGCUCGGAAUUACUGGGCGUAAAGGGAGCGUAGGCGGGUUAUCAAGUUGGAGGUGAAAGCCCAGGGCUCAACCUUGGAAUUGCCUUCAAAACUGAUAGCCUAGAGUAUGAUAGAGGUAAGUGGAACUCCGAGUGUAGAGGUGAAAUUCGUAGAUAUUCGGAAGAACACCAGUGGCGAAGGCGGCUCUCUGGAACGCAACUGACGCUGAGACGCGAAAGCGUGGGGAGCAAACAGG
rnacentral:rRNA from 1 species